GACGAGAUGGCUGAGUCAGGUAAAGCGGCAGUUUGCUAAACUGUGAUCUUUUUAUGGAUUCAUGGGUUCGAAUCCCAUUCUCGUCG
rnacentral:tRNA from 1 species